rnacentral:rRNA from 1 species
UUGGAGGGCAAGUCUGGUGCCAGCAGCCGCGGUAAUUCCAGCUCCAAUAGCGUAUAUUAAGUUGUUGCAGUUAAAAAGCUCGUAGUUGAAUUUCGGGGUUCAUACGUUGGUCGGGCUUUUGGGUCUGCACUAGCGUAAUGGAUUCCUACCUUCUGAAUAACCGGCAUGCCAUUAAUUUGGUGCGCCGGGGAAGCAGGACUGUUACCUUGAAAAAAUUAGAGUGCUUAAAGCAGGCUAUCGCCUGAAUACAUUAGCAUGGAAUAAUGAAAUAGGACGUUUGAUCCUAUUUUGUUGGUUUCUAGGAUUGACGUAAUGAUUAAUAGGGAUAGUUGGGGGCAUUAGUAUUCAAUUGUCAGAGGUGAAAUUCUUGGAUUUAUUGAAGACUAACUACUGCGAAAGCAUUUGCCAAGGAUGUUUUCAUUAAUCAAGAACGAAAGUUAGGGGAUCGAAGACGAUCAGAUACCGUCGUAGUCUUAACCAUAAACUAUGCCGACUAGGGAUCGGAUGAUGUUAAUUUUUUAAUGACUCAUUCGGCGCCUUACGGGAAAC